UACGUAGGGACCAAGCGUUGUUCGGAUUUACUGGGCGUAAAGGGCGCGUAGGCGGUGUGGUAAGUCACUUGUGAAAUCUCCGAGCUUAACUCGGAACGGCCAAGUGGUACUGCUGUGCUAGAGUGCAGAAGGGGCAAUCGGAAUUCUUGGUGUAGCGGUGAAAUGCGUAGAUAUCAAGAGGAACACCUGAGGUGAAGACGGGUUGCUGGGCUGACACUGACGCUGAAGCGCGAAAGCCAGGGGAGCAAACGGG
rnacentral:rRNA from 1 species